UAUUUUCCAAAACUAAUAAUUUGUUAAAUUGUAAAAAGUUUUUAACUGAAAAAACAAAUUUCAGUCCCCCGAUAUAUGCAUAUAUAGAUUUUUGCAAGAUCUCCACAAAAUUUACACUUCGCUUUGGCUGUUCUGAUCAUACCAACCCAAACCCUCACCCUCUCUCCUUCUCUCCCUCUGCGACAUCUCUCCCGCUCUCUCUCCCAUUUGGCAACCCUGCAAUUCCCCAAACCCUAGAAAUCUGUCUCUCUGUCUUCCUCCCAUUUCACCCACCUGCAACUGCAAGUGUUCGCUUGCAGAGGCUAAUUCCGCUUUGGCGCUUUCCCCUCUCUCUUGCCGCAUCUCGAAGCACGAUUAGCUGCGCUCUCGUCUCCGUCAUUCGCCUGCCAAUUUUCUGCAAUUCGAAUCGUUUUGGUCUCCGAUGGCGCACGGAAAAGUCAGUCUCCCUCAAGAUCUCCUCCCCUCGAAUCUGGUCGAUUCACACUUCUCCGCCAAAGGUUUGCGUUCUUCUGCGUUUUUCAAUCCGUAUCUCUUCUCGCUGCAUCGAUUUUCUCUGUUGCUCCCGCAUCAUUUUCUUCCUUGCUCGAUUUAAAUCGCAUUCAAAUCUACACCUAUAUAUAUAUAUAUAUCUGUAUUCUUUAGAAUGUUGUGUGAUGAAAGCUUUUGGAUGUUCUUGAUAUCGUUAUGGCUUUGCUUUUCGAUGUUAAUUUUGGGAACGAAAUGUGGGAUAAUUUUGUUGCCACGGUGCUCAUGUCAUCUUCCUUUCUGUUCUGUCCUUCAUUUUAGUGCUGGUACAGUGCAAGAGUCUUUCCGUCUGUCUUCUAUUAGCAGUUCAUUGGAGUAUUUGAACACUGUUUUUUCCACCUAUUUUAUUUUUACUUUCGAUAGUGAACCUCUUGGAUUUGUAAAUCAUGGACAAUCUGAUUUCGAAGAAUGCAUGUAAAUAUCUAUCUUUUUCUGUUUGCCAUCUUAGAUGAUGAAGCCUUCCAAGGAAACAUUGAGGAGAAGGCGCUAACGGGGUCCCUUGACAUGUCAAUUGGUGGUUGUGCUUCCUUUCUUAUUAUCCAUUGUUUUUCCCAUGUUCAAUUUUGUUCACCUCAUUGGCUAUCAUUUUACUGUAUUUUUCUUUAUGAUUAAAGUGUGAGCCUGCCAGUUAAUUAGUUUAACAUGGUCCUAAUUGCAGAUCAAGUUGCCUCAGACAGCAG
rnacentral:lncRNA from 1 species